CCUCGUCCAGUCAUUGAACGAUUUACAUUCAUUGAACCCCUGUAGAAACAAAUCAAAUGAUUUAAUGAAUCAUAAUAGAAGUGGUUCCAACUAGUAUACAUGUGAAACGACUUAAAAUUGAUAGAGAAUCAGAUUGAAAAUCGUUGAAUUAUUCAAGGUCGAUAAAUGAACUCAAUUGAGUAGUCAAGGAAUCGAGAAAAGAAAUUAUUGGAAUAAUUCCCGAAUCAAGAUGAGAACUUACAGGAAAAAGGAUUUCGAAUCGAUCGAAGAUUGCAAUAGCUCAAAAAUCAACAAUUCUCGGAAAUCAAAUUAGUUCACAAGAUAGGCGACAAUAAAUAUAUAUUGAAUUUAAACGACGAGUAAUAACAAUAAUAAACCGAACGAUACGAUUGCUCGGCAUAUAUCCAGUUUCCCAGAAAUAAUAGGCAAGGGAUAGGGAUCCUCACCUGAAGUCCAGUGCAAGGUGCUAUAAAUAAAUAUCCUUACGCUCAAGCCAUGCUCAAGCCUUGAGUGAGAGCUUUAGUACGGUCGAUACCUAUAAAAAUAUUCAUCACUUAACAAGAUUCUAAUAUAACCGUAUUAUUCCACUAUAUCACUUAGUCAAUUUCUUGAAACAUUUAUUAAGAAUUUCUUGUCGGGCUAAUUCUAACAAUCACUACGAUCACCAUACUUAUCCGAAUACCCUAAACUAUAUAUCAAAUUAAAGAUAACAACUUCAUCUACAAGUUCACUUUAGAAACCAACCCCAAAUUAUCGACCUAACACAGCAGUAACAGCCCCGGAAGAUAAUUGCAUGAAACUGCUAGGUUUUGUUUGAACAAAUGCAUUUGCUGGCAUUGUUUAUUUGAAAAAUCAUAAAAAUUUGUAGAGUUAUCCAAAUUGUCCAAAUAAUACACCAAAUUGAACCUUACAAUGUAAACUACAAGUUCUCAGAAGACACACAGCCCAAAUUAUUAGCUCAACAUAGCAAAAACGGCCUCGUAAGAAGAAUAUUCAAAACUGCCCUGUUUUUACAGAUUUAAAGUCACUUAAUUCGGACCACUAAUCAGCUUCAAAACAUACUCUAACUCGAUACAAUUUUACACUUACCAAUAUUUUUCGAGGUCCUCUACGAGUUUCGUCAAGGAAUGAUUCCCAAAUUCGCACUCCAAACCCUCCAAAUUCUGCUCCGAAAACAGGUGCGGCAGCAGGGUUUCUUUCCCUAAAGUUCCGGUGCGCAGCUGGGAUUCUCGCCAAAUUCCGGCGACCACCGCCGAUGAAUACCACCGAGAACAAUUACUGAAACAGAAUAUACCGAAAUGGAUAUUCUUUUUUGCUGAUUGAUGGAGGCAAUGUAAUGAUUUAUUCGAUUUUUCUGUGCUUUUUUUUCAGUUUUUGAUCAAGCUUAUAAAAACCGAGCAUCAAAAUAUUCCAACAUUUUACGAUUUCGAGUACAGAGACAUGAAAACUAGUAAAGCACAUGCUCAUGAAAAUGGCAGCUAACCUUAAUAGCCGAUGCUUGAUCCAUCGUCAAUUCAUCACAGUUUAAGCUCCUGCAAAUUAGUUAAACCAGACAUGAGAUUAAUCCAUGCAAGAAAAAACCGAAAUGACUUGUUAAAGAAACGACUUUUCGAACCAAUUGAAAAAAUGUUUUUGCACUCCAAAGUUGGAGUCUGGUUCCAGUAUUUUAUCAAAC
rnacentral:lncRNA from 1 species